GUCCCAGUAGCGCAAUGGAUAGCGUGUUGGACUUCUAAUCCGAGGGUCAUAGGUUCGAAUCCCACCUGGGACG